AUUGAACGCUGGCGGCAGGUUUAACACAUGCAAGUCGAACGGUAACAUAAAGGAGCUUGCUUCUUUGAUGACGAGUGGCGGACGGGUGAGUAAUGCUUGGGAAUCUAGCUUAUGGAGGGGGAUAACUACGGGAAACUGUAGCUAAUACCGCGUAGUAUCGGGAGAUGAAAGUGUGGGACCUUCGGGCCACAUGCCAUAGGAUGAGCCCAAGUGGGAUUAGGUAGUUGGUGAGGUAAAGGCUCACCAAGCCGACGAUCUCUAGCUGGUCUGAGAGGAUGACCAGCCACACUGGGACUGAGACACGGCCCAGACUCCUACGGGAGGCAGCAGUGGGGAAUAUUGCGCAAUGGGGGCAACCCUGACGCAGCCAUGCCGUCGUGAAAUGAAGAAGGCCUUCGGGUUGUAAAGUUCUUUCGGUAGCGAGGAAGGCCAUUAGUUUUAUAGACUAGGUGAUUGCACGUUAACUACAGAAGAA
rnacentral:rRNA from 1 species